rnacentral:tRNA from 1 species
GCGCGAGUGGCGAAAUGGCAGACGCGCUGGCUUCAGGUGCCAGUGUCCGCAAGGACGUGCGGGUUCAAGUCCCGCCUCGCGCAC